rnacentral:SRP_RNA from 1 species
GCUGGGCUCAGUGAUGCAUGCCUGUAGUUCCAGCUCUCUGGGAGGCUGAGAAAGGAGGAUCACUUGAGCCCAGGAGUUUGGGUCCAGCCUAGGUAACUUAGUAAGACCCGGUGUCUU